CCUGAACGCUGGCGGCGUGGCUAAGACAUGCAAGUCGUACGGGUGUAGCAAUACACCAGUGGCGGACGGGUGAGUAAUGAAUCGCUAAUGUACCCCGAAGUCUGGGAUAGCCGGCCGAAAGGCCGGGUAAUACCAGAUGACAUAUCCGACAGGCAUCUGUUGGAUCUCAAAGGAGCAAUACGCUUUGGGAGCAGGCGAUUUCGUAUCAGCUAGUUGGGAGGUAACGGCUCACCAAGGCGACGACGCGUAGCUGGUCUGAGAGGACGGCCGGCCACAUUGGGACUGAGACACUGCCCAGACUCCUACGGGGGGCUGCAGUAACGAAUCUUCCGCAAUGCACGCAAGUGUGACGGAGCGACGCCGCGUGGAGG
rnacentral:rRNA from 1 species